rnacentral:rRNA from 1 species
UACGAAGGGGGCUAGCGUUACUCGGAUUGACUGGGCGUAAAGGGCGCGUAGGCGGCUUGUACAGUCAGACGUGAAAUUCCUGGGCUCAACCUGGGGGCUGCGUUUGAUACGUGCGGGCUUGAGUUCGGAAGAGGGUCGUGGAAUUCCCAGUGUAGAGGUGAAAUUCGUAGAUAUUGGGAAGAACACCGGUGGCGAAGGCGGCGACCUGGUCCGAUACUGACGCUGAGGCGCGAAAGCUAGGGGAGCGAACGGG